UGGGGAAUAUUGGACAAUGGGCGAAAGCCUGAUCCAGCCAUGCCGCGUGUGUGAAGAAGGUCUUCGGAUUGUAAAGCACUUUAAGUUGGGAGGAAGGGCAGUAAGCGAAUACCUUGCUGUUUUGACGUUACCGACAGAAUAAGCACCGGCUAACUCUGUGCCAGCAGCCGCGGUAAUACAGAGGGUGCAAGCGUUAAUCGGAAUUACUGGGCGUAAAGCGCGCGUAGGUGGUUCGUUAAGUUCAAUGUGAAAGCCCCGGGCUCAACCUGGGAACUGCAUCCAAAACUGGCGAGCUAGAGUAGGGCAGAGGGUGGUGGAAUUUCCUGUGUAGCGGUGAAAUGCGUAGAUAUAGGAAGGAACACCAGUGGCGAAGGCGACCACCUGGGCUCAUACUGACACUGAGGUGCGAAAGCGUGGGGAGCAAACAGG
rnacentral:rRNA from 1 species